rnacentral:tmRNA from 1 species
GGGGCCGCAACGGUUUCGACAGGUUGGCGAAAACUUGUCCGUGAUACAGGUCGAGAGUGAAUCGCCUCUCGUAAAUAAACGGUUCAAAACAAUGUAACUGCGAACAACGUAGUAAAAUUCGAGCGUCAGGCGGUAUUCGCCUAAGUCUAAACUAGACUUGCUCCCUCCUAAUCUGACUCCGUUAAGGAUUAGGAUGCAACCCCAACGGAUGCGCUAGUUAUCUUCUUCUGGUGAGAUAAUUAGCUAAGACUUAACCAGAAAUCCCUCCAUCAGGGAAAAGUGAUGGCUCCCGUCCUGAGGAUGAGAAGGACUAUCACCUGUGAAGGAGCGGAGAGUAAAUACCCAGCCUGGACAGCAGUUCAACUCUGCUCGGCUCCAUUU